UACGUAGGGUGCAAGCGUUAAUCGGAAUUACUGGGCGUAAAGCGCACGCAGGCGGUUUGUUAAGCCAGAUGUGAAAUCCCCGGGCUCAACCUGGGAAUUGCAUCUGAUACUGGCUAGCUUGAGUCUCGUAGAGGGGGGUAGAAUUCCACGUGUAGCGGUGAAAUGCGUAGAGAUGUGGAGGAAUACCGAUGGCGAAGGCAGCCCCCUGGACGAAGACUGACGGUCAUGCGCGAAAGCGUGGGGAGCAAACAGG
rnacentral:rRNA from 1 species